rnacentral:rRNA from 1 species
CUUUUGAUGGCGACCGGCGCACGGGUGAGUAACACGUAUCCAACCUGCCUCAUACUCGGGGAUAGCCUUUCGAAAGAAAGAUUAAUACCCGAUGUUAUAGUCCUACCGCAUGAUGGGAUUAUUAAAGAAUUUCGGUAUGGGAUGGGGAUGCGUUCCAUUAGUUAGCUGGCGGGGUAACGGCCCACCAAGACAACGAUGGAUAGGGGUUCUGAGAGGAAGGUCCCCCACAUUGGAACUGAGACACGGUCCAAACUCCUACGGAAGGCAGCAG